GGAGGAAUGGCUGAGUGGCUGAAGGCGCACGCCUGGAAAGUGUGUUUAGGUUAAUCCCUAACGAGGGUUCGAAUCCCUCUUCCUCCA
rfam:Pseudoalteromonas marina DSM 17587 strain mano4 contig060, whole genome shotgun sequence.